GACGAAGGGGGCUAGCGUUGUUCGGAAUUACUGGGCGUAAAGCGCGUGUAGGCGGUUGUCCAAGUUGGAUGUGAAAGCCUUGAGCUCAACUCAAGAAAUGCAUUCAGGACUGGAUGACUAGAGGACCGGAGAGGAUAGUGGAAUUCCCAGUGUAGUGGUGAAAUACGUAGAGAUUGGGAAGAACACCAGUGGCGAAGGCGGCUAUCUGGACGGUUUCUGACGCUAAGGUGCGAAAGCGUGGGAGCAAACAGG
rnacentral:rRNA from 1 species